AAUACUUAUUUUCCUCACUGUAUAGAUGUGGUAAGGUAGGUGACUGGUGCACAUGCAUGGUCAUAUGACCUUGUCAUGUGACCUGCAGCUAAUAAGGAAGUGGUAAAAGGUUUGCUAGUCUCAAUGGAGAGUCCUUUGCUUUCCACUGAGCACACCUUGCAGGGUGACAUCCAGACAUGAGUGUCCCGUCCUCUGGAGGGAACUGGAGAAGAUUGAUGAUAAUGCCUGUCAGCAUUGCAAGCUUCUACAGGUGACGUGGUCACAAAUCAGCGGCUGUGGAUGUAGGGAUCCGGAGUUACUGGUAAACGAUAUACAUGUGCCUAUCUGUGUAUCUUAAUGAGCCCGGAUAUUAUUUAUUUUUAGCACCGGAAUCCCCCCCCACCUGCUGCAUUUCUGCAGACUUUGUGUAACCUUGCAAAGUAGGCUUAUAUUUUAUUCCUUAAAUUAUCUGCAAGGCACUGUAAUUUCAGAACUUGCAACUAAUGUCUUAUGUUUUAAAGGUGGACCAGACCAACCACUGACUUCUAUUUUAUCCUUUUUGUUUGUUCUGUUAAAUGGUUUUCCAGUAACUUAAGAUGUCUGUUGCUCGCUGUAGUGUCCCAUAGUGACUGGAAUAGAUGUCCUGUAUUGGGUGUCUACUCGGUGUCAUAUUUGGGAUGGUGGUUUAAAUACAGGUUGCUCUCCUCUCUGUAUAUCCUCAGCUUGACUUUGUACAAGGCUGGGUCCAUAUCGGCAGACUGCCUCCCUUUCCGUGGUGAGACUGCACUGGGUGACAUUCUGUAGUGGUGUGUAUACUCAACUUCGACAUUGCAUGCUAUUUUGUAGUGAAUAAUCUAGAUGGUAAGUGUGUAGUGAAUAGUUUAGAUGUUGAGUGUAUAGUGCAUGUACUUCUUGGUGUUGGGUCUGCUGUCUCCCUCUUCUGUCUACCACAGUCGCUGAUUGGGGUGGUGUGUACGAGCCGACUUGACCUUCCUACCUUGAGGAGAGUAACACUUUUCUUUUUUUUUUUUUUUUUCCAACAAAUUUAUUACCAGGCUAAUUUUAUUUAUGCUGAUGGUAUUUUAACAAUAUACUCAUAAUAAAAUUUACUUACUUUUGUACAA